UUUAUACAUUUUCCUCCAACGCAAAUCAUCCCUUUCCUUUCCCUCUACAUUCCCGAUUGGCAACCGCUCUCCCCUGCCACCUUCGUCUCACUGCGAUAUAAGCUGAUAGGAAAGAGAGGACGAACUCUCCUCACCUCACGCUCCUCCUGUAGUCCUCUACCAAAAUCGUUGUCAAUCCCCUCCUCCCCUCCUCUUGGUUCCGCCCAAAACUAUCUCCUGUGCCUUAAACCCUAGCUUCACCGUGUCAUUUGGAGUUAGCAGAGAAGGCAAUGACGGGAUUGUCGGCUGUUUCGCUCCUACCCAAAACCACUGAAAAAGGUCAGUAGAACUCUUUUGAAGUUUGGUUAGCCAGAUCGACGGACCCACAGAGUGUUGAACCUAUAGGAAAUCUUUAGACUUCUUUGGCUUUGUGACAAAUGCCAACCAUCAUACUAUGCGAUUGGAACGGCAACAGAAGGACCACCUUGAAUAAGUACAAGUUUCAUAUGGAAGUUUUCUCUGGAUUAUUGUUCAUCCUUGAAGGAGAUGGAGAAGCCGUGAGGGAGCCACAGCUAGAUUCCAAACAGUAUUUUCGUUCGGAGUCCAAUGGCAGAGCGCCAUGUGUCAAGUGGGGGGGGGG